GACGAACCGUGCGAACGUUGUUCGGAAUCAUUGGGCUUAAAGGGCGCGUAGGCGGGCCCGCAAGUCAGGGGUGAAAUCCCACGGCUCAACCGUGGAAGUGCCUCUGAUACUGCGGGCCUCGAGGGGGGUAGGGGCGUGCGGAACUUCCGGUGGAGCGGUGAAAUGCGUAGAUAUCGGAAGGAACACCGGUGGCGAAAGCGGCGCGCUGGACCCCUUCUGACGCUGAGGCGCGAAAGCGUGGGGAGCGAACAGG
rnacentral:rRNA from 1 species